ensembl:snRNA U7 U7 small nuclear RNA
UAGUAAAUUUGUUCUUUUAGUAUUUCUCCAGUAGGUUUCCUCGAGGAGAAAGCCUCC